UUCGGUACGACAUUGCUCACAUUGCUUCCAGUAUUAUUUGCCCGCACGUCACGUGUGGGCUUUUUUU
rnacentral:antisense_RNA from 1 species